AAAGUCGUAACAAGGUCUCCGUAGGUGAACCUGCGGAGGGAUCAUUGAAGAGUUAGGGCCCUCGUGGCCCGACCUCCAACCCUUUGUCUACCAACCAUGUUGCCUCGGGGGCGACCCUGCCGUCCGCGGUCUGGGGCUCCCGGUGGACCACUAAACUCUGCAUCUUUGCGUCUGAGUAAAUUGUUAAUAAAACAAAACUUUCAACAACGGAUCUCUUGGUUCUG
rnacentral:misc_RNA from 1 species